rnacentral:tRNA from 1 species
GAGGGGAGGUUUAACCAGCAGGAACUGCUAACUCUUGCAUCUGAGUUUAAAAUCUCAGCCCCCUUA